UAGCCGCAGAACUGUUUGGGCAUGCCCCU
rnacentral:sRNA from 1 species